UACGGAGGGGGCUAGCGUUGUUCGGAAUUCUGGGGGUAAAGGGCACGUAGGCGGCUUUGCAAGUUAGAGGUGAAAGCCCGGGGCUCAACUCCGGAAUUGCCUUUAAAACUGCAUCGCUAGAAUUGUGGAGAGGUAAGUGGAAUUCCGAGUGUAGAGGUGAAAUUCGUAGAUAUUCGGAAGAACACCAGUGGCGAAGGCGACUUACUGGACACAUAUUGACGCUGAGGUGCGAAAGCGUGGGGAGCAAACAGG
rnacentral:rRNA from 1 species